rnacentral:tRNA from 1 species
AUUUAAAUAGUUUAAGUAAAAUAUUGAUUUGUGGAGUCAAAGAUGUAUUGUUAUAUUUUAAAUA